GCAAGUGGGCUGGGAAACGGGGUGUGUAGGGGGUCCAUUGUGGAGUGAUGAGUGUGACCCGUUACGAGAUUAUGAGCUACCAAUCACCAAACCCAAACAAACCACGAUAAACCAUCCAUCCAUGGCCUCUCUUCUUCUUAGACAGGCUCUGCUGCUCCGCGUUUGCUUCCAUAACUACCAACGCUUCGCCGCCGGAGCCGUCGCCGCGCGUCACCGCCUAUGGUGCAGCGCCGCCGCCAACUCUCCCUCCGACAAGGCGGACGACAAAACUAGCUCCGCCAGCAUCGGCAAUGCACGGAAAGCUCUUUUCCCGCCAAGCCAGCCGCGGUGGGAGGACGAGCCCGAUUAUCGGAAAUGGAAGGACACCGAGGAAGCGAUUCUCAAGGACAUUGAACCCACCGUUUUGCUCGCCAAGGAUAUUCUCCACUCACGAAGGUAUAUGGAUGGAGCGCGAUUGAGUGCGGAGGACGAGAAAGUUGUUGUUCAGAAGCUCCUUGCUUACCAUCCACACUCUGAAGAUAAGAUUGGAUGCGGACUUGAAUCCAUUAUGGUUGACCGUCAUCCCCAAUAUCGACAAUCAAGGUGUCUUUUUGUUGUUAGAACUGAUGGCGGCUGGAUCGAUUUCUCCUAUCAGAAGUGCCUUCGGGAAUACAUUAGAGAUAAGUACCCUACUUAUGCGGAAAGGUUUAUUCGACAACAUUUUAAGCGUGGGAGGAUGUAUAUAUAAUGGAAUUUGUUUACUUUGGUGUGCUGACUACUUUUUACAUCUGCUUUCCCCAUUAUUGAUCAGUGGCCUUACCUACAUUGUCAAUGGCAGUGGAUAAUUAUUGACUGAGAUAUCGAGCUUAUAAUGAAAGGAACACAGAAAAUUAUUGAAGUGAGCUUCACUUUGUUGACUUCUAGAUCCCUUUUUUGGUGAUACAAAUUGGUGGUUAGGUAACUGGUUUCAGUAAGGAAUGGAAUUUAGUUGUUUACUUUAACCACCUCUGCUAUAAUAUUAUAAGAUAUUAACUAGAAUUCAAGCAUUUUCUUUUUAAUAUUGCAUGGUCUUUUCUGUUCAGCAUUGCAUUUUUAAACCCUUAAUUAUUGGAUGAUGCUUUUACCCGAAUGUGGAUUCAUUCCCAAAGAUUCAGAGAACCACCAUAACGUUUGCUGAAGGGUCCUCCUGGUGGCAAAUGCAACUUUGGACGAUGUAAAAAGCACCCGUAUCUGUGAAUUUCUGUAAAAUGAGGGGGAAGCUUAGGAUUGUACAACUGUUCCCAUUCUGGAUUAUGUAUAUUGCUUUAGGUGUCCUAUUUCCAGCUAUAUUAGUCACGGGCCAUUCAGGAGUGGUUGAUCGGACAUGUACGGGUCAAAACUCAAUAAGGGUCAAGCUCAGCUAGGUUUAGUAGGACUCUGCACAAGUCAAAACGGAGAGAAACUAUGUCUGGCCUACUUUUAGAUUUUUAGCUGAAUAUGUUUCUAAAGUCCAAGGCAAUCAUCUUUCUUUAUGUUAGUUUUGAUAAUAAGUCAUACACUCGAAGAAAUUCCGUUAUAGCA